CGAAGUCAACCCGAGGAGGUUGAUAGAGAAAACCAACACACAGACCCUCUUCUCCUUACUGAUUUUAUUGCUACUCACUAAAGAGAAGUAGAAAAGAUCACAAAAAGCAACACAUCUACGUGUUAAAAACGGAGUGUCCUGAGCCGUGAGGAUGCAGCAGUGAAAAAGACAGAUGCAGACAUGGUCCCUGCCCUCCAGUGGGUCUUGACUCUUCUUGACACAAUCAUGGGAGCCUGUCGACUUCUGCGCUCUGAAGUCCUCAUCCCAUGUAGGAGCUGAAGACAGUGCCUACAAGAGCCCACAUUUUAGGGCAAAGGCAAGAAUAGACAGUCUGAGUGGUUGCCCUGCAGAGCCAGAAGCAGUGCAGCCAGGGGUGGAUGUGCUAGUCUUGGUAGAGGAGGGGAAGCCAGAAGUCAGGGCCAAAGGGGCAGUGUCAUUUGUUAAGGAGUGAGCUCAGGGCUGCAAACGAAUGGGUCCAGACAUUAGGAAGGGGUUGGGAGGAGGAGGGCAAGGGAGGUGGCCACUAAUGGGUCAGGAUGAGAGAAAGGCAAGGGUUUUGGAAAUCUAUCUUGCUGGGAGCUGGUUGAGUGGCAGGAAAUCAAGGGUUAAUGAUAGUAACAACAAUAAUCCUUGUCAUCAAGUGUGUAUUGAGUGCUUACUGUGACUGUGCCA
rnacentral:lncRNA from 1 species